UACGUAGGGCGCAAGCGUUAUCCGGAAUUAUUGGGCGUAAAGAGCUCGUAGGCGGUUUGUUGCGUCUGCCGUGAAAGUCCGGGGCUCAACUCCGGAUCUGCGGUGGGUACGGGCAGACUAGAGUGAUGUAGGGGAGACUGGAAUUCCUGGUGUAGCGGUGAAAUGCGCAGAUAUCAGGAGGAACACCGAUGGCGAAGGCAGGUCUCUGGGCAUUAACUGACGCUGAGGAGCGAAAGCAUGGGGAGCGAACAGG
rnacentral:rRNA from 1 species